UAAGUCUCAGUUCGGAUCGCAGGCUGCAACCCGCCUGCGUGAAGCCGGAAUUGCUAGUAAUCGCGGAUCAGCAUGCCGCGGUGAAUACGUUCCCGGGCCUUGUACACACCGCCCGUCACACCAUGAGAGCCGGGGGACCCGAAGUCCGUAGUUUAACCGCAAGGAGGACGCGGCCGAAGGUAAAACUGGUGAUUGGGGUGAAGUCGUAACAAGGUAUC
rnacentral:rRNA from 1 species